UUAACUGGGAUUAGAUACCCCACUAUGCCCAGCCGUAAACAAUUAAUUUACAACAAUCAACGCCAGGGUACUACGAGCUAUGCUUAAAACCCAAAGGACUUGACGGUGUCCCACCCACCUAGAGGAGCCUGUUCUAUAAUCGAUAAUCCCCGAUUAACCUCACCAUUUCCUUGCCAAUCAGUCUGUAUACCUCCGUCGAAAGCUUACCAUGUGAAUGCCCACAGUAGGCCCAAGGAUCACCCAUCAACACGUCAGGUCAAGGUGCAACUUAUGGAGUGGUAAGUAAUAGGCUACAAUUUCUAAUAUAGAACAAACGAAAGAUUAUGUGAAAUCCUAAUCAUGAAGGCGGAUUUAGUAGUAAAAAGAAACUAGAGGUCUUACAGUCAGGCUG
rnacentral:rRNA from 1 species